GUAGGUGGCAAGCGUUGUCCGGAAUUAUUGGGCGUAAAGCGCGCGCAGGCGGUUCUUUAAGUCUGAUGUGAAAGCCCACGGCUCAACCGUGGAGGGUCAUUGGAAACUGGAGAACUUGAGUACAGAAGAGGAAAGCGGAAUUCCACGUGUAGCGGUGAAAUGCGUAGAGAUGUGGGGGAACACCAGUGGCGAAGGCGGCUUUCUGGUCUGUAACUGACGCUGAGGCGCGAAAGCGUGGGGAGCAAACAGGGAUUAGAUACCCUGGUAGUCCACGCCGUAAACGAUGAGUGCUAAGUGUUAGGGGGGUUUCCGCCCCCUUAGUGCUGCAGCUAACGCAUUAAGCACUCCGCCUGGGGAUACGGCCGCAAGGCUG
rnacentral:rRNA from 1 species